UAUAACCUUCAGUGCAGUCUUGGAAAUAAUUGUGUAGUUCGUAGCAACCCAAUAGCGGGGUUUAGGAUACGUUUGAAAUGCACCGCCGUUGUGGAUUAUUCACGUCAUUUUCACUGAAAGCACAGAAAAAAUAAAUUAAAGAAGUGAAAAGGGAUAACCCACAACUGAUAUGAAUCGUCAACACAACGAAAUGAAGUGUAUUGGUACAGAGAAAGAAACUAUUUGGUGACCUAUAGAGAAGGAUUUAGAUACCUAAUACCUAUUGAGGUCCUGCGUGUCUUCUCUGCACCUCAGCCCUACUAUGGGCCUUUCAUGGAUCCCCUGCAACCAUAUACUGCUACAGGUUUACCAUUUGCUCACCCAGAAAAUGAUUUAGUAGCUCCAAGAUACUUCAUUCAAGGCUGGGUGAUCUUCUGGUUUUAGAAGAAUUUCGCUGCCCGGUUAAUUAAAUACUAUGUUGCUUGUUAUAUAUAUAUGAAUGAAAUAUUUCAAUUUUUAAGUUUUGUAGCUGCUAUAUUCAAUAUAUAGCAUCAAAUGUAACACCUAUGAAUAAUUUUGUUUUGCUAUAACUACAAUUUAUAAUUAACUACCAAUUCAAAACCACAUACACAACUGAAAACAAAAUUGCUGCUUUUUCAUGUUUCAAUCAUCAUUUGGUUAACAUGCAUUAUAUGUAAAUAAAGUGUUAGUU